rnacentral:rRNA from 1 species
AACGAACGCUGGCGGCAUGCCUAACACAUGCAAGUCGAACGAGACCUUCGGGUCUAGUGGCGCACGGGUGCGUAACGCGUGGGAACCUGCCCUUAGGUUCGGAAUAACUCCCCGAAAGGGGUUCUAAUACCGGAUAAUGUCUUCGGACCAAAGAUUUAUCGCCUUUGGAUGGGCCCGCGUUGGAUUAGCUAGUUGGUAGGGUAAAAGCCUACCAAGGCGACGAUCCAUAGCUGGUCUGAGAGGAUGAUCAGCCACACUGGGACUGAGACACGGCCCAGACUCCUACGGGAGGCAGCAGUGGGGAAUAUUGGACAAUGGGCGAAAGGCUGAUCCAGCAAUGCCGCGUGAGUGAUGAAGGCCUUAGGGUUGUAAAGCUCUUUUACCCGGGAUGAUAAUGACAGUACCGGGAGAAUAAGCUCCGGCUAACUCCGUG